UGCAGAAUCCCGUGAACCAUCGAGUCUUUGAACGCAAGUUGCGCCCGAAGCCGCUAGGCCGAGGGCACGUCUGCCUGGGCGUCACGC
rnacentral:rRNA from 1 species